ensembl:lincRNA
AUUUUUCUUACAGACAUAAAGAAUAAUAUCGCUAAGAAAGGUGCAAACCUCCAGCUGGUGUGCCUAUGAAGCCGACUCUGCCAGGCAUCACAGGAAACAACGGGGUUCUUCCCCAAUACUUCCAAGAAAUGACUUUAUUUCUAGAAAUGGCACAUAGACUGUUGGAAUGAUGGACCUUGACAUCAUAAAUUCAAUGAGCAUGAAGGUGGUGUACUGUAUAUUACUAUUCUUUAAAAAUAGGCAUUUCACUACAACUGUUGACUCGGAACGACAGGGUCUAGACUCUAAGUUCGGUUGUCAACGUGUAAAAUUGUUGAUUUACUUGUCGGGUAUUGUAUUCUAUCCGAAAUGGGAUUUUCUCCUUUCUAACUGAGAGGUCUAUAACCCUUUUUCUUGCUGGACUCCAAGAGAAAAAGCCCCUCUCCCUAGCCUCUGGGGUCUCCCUGGACCCCAACAGCCAACAGAGCUAAGAGAACCAAUCAGAUGCCACUUCACCAACACACAGAUUUGUUUUAAUUUUACAUUUGCAUAUCUAUCCUGUAAGAAAUCACCUUCUAUCCAUAAGAAAGGAUAUUUGGAGCAAACAAACAGAAUGGCCCUCUCCAAGUCUGCAUCUCCCUCUCAGGGCUUUUCCACAUGAAAGGGAUUCACAAUCAUUGUCUUCCCAUUCUUAACACAAGAAAUAGAGCUCCUGUCAAACCGUUAGCUAUUUAAGGGAAAUUAUAUGGAUUCUUGCCUUUUGACAAAGCAUUGGGACUUUAACUGGUGUUCUUGAUGUAUAUAUGUACUGAAUAUUGCAGAGUUCAUUUAAAUAGCAUUGUAUUUGCAUUACCAUACCAGGAUGAUUGCUUGUGUGAAACUCAGUGCUGAGGUUUGGACUGGGGAAGACUGGGGAAGUGGACAGCAAUGCAGAGAGGACGACCCCCACGAAAGGCAUUUACAGACCCUUGGCCUAAACACUCUGCAACUUAUUUGCUGGGCUUGGAUGGACACCUGCCUACAUGUGACUCUGUCUCACUGUUUUCCUAUCACCAAGGUCCCCACCUUCCAACGGAUACAUUCUUCCUUCAUAGAAGUUAAGAUACUUAAGCAAGUCACUGUCAAGUCUUACUGAUCUACCUGUCUUUUUACAAAGACAGUCUACCUCUACUCUCACCCAUUAUUCCUGAAUUCGUGGAAGGUGCGAGUGGGGAGGACAUUUUGAUGGCUCCCCUAAAGCACUGAGAUGGAGGCAUAUUCCCCACUAGAAAAGCUCUUGUUUCUGUUUCUCCAUUAUGAGAACCCAGGUGUUUGAUUCUACUAGUCUUGCGAAAAGAAAUAGCAUUGUUUCCAUUUCAUUCAAUGAUACAGAGAUAUAGAUAGAUACGUAUCUAUGUAUCUUGCUCUAAAGAAAGAGAUUAGGCAAAAUAUAUGGGAUAAGUCCACAAACACUUAUUGGAGGCACUGUGGGGCCCGAGGUGCUUUGCAACUCUUGAGCAUUUUUUGUUUUAGGAAGAGAGUAUGGUGCAUAUGCAUACACUGUAUAUUACACAAUACCCUAAACAGGGUCCAGGUCAGAAUUUUUAAAUCAAACACUAAUGUUUCUGCAGUGAAAUGUUUGAUCAUUCAUACUAAGUGGGCAAAUAAUGACUAUAAAUAGCCUCUCGCUAGUUCAGGUCAGGUUUUGCUGCCAAAGGAGUCCAAGUCAGGUCACAUUUACUCUCAAAUGAUUUAUGGAAAAACUAUCCUCAGAGCUUUCUGGAUCAUGGAAUUGAGAAUGAGAAACUAUGGACCUGUAAUAUGGAAUGUUCCCUUGUAAAAUGGCAUCUAAUUUUCAGGGAAGGCAGUGAAACAUAUUAAAACCUACUAAAUAUGACAAAUUGAUUAAUUUAUGAGUAAGAGUAUUCAAUAAAUACUUGCAAAAGGGGUAAGAAACACAGUUACUGAGACAGUGGCAAUUUCGGGGAGAUUUUAAAUAUUUUAAUUAUUUAUUCAUUCAUUCAUUUUAGAGAAAUAGCACAUGUGGGCCCACAAGUGGGAGGGGGAGAGAAAAGCUGACCCCCCACUGAGAGCAGAGCCUGACUCAGGGCUCCAUCUCAGGACUCUGAGAUCCUGACCUGAGCUGAAAUCAAGAGUCCUGACUCCUGCAGAGAGAUUUUAAAUAACUAAGGCUGCAUCCUAUUAGCAGAUAUUAAGAAUGGUCAAGGGCAGGGGCACCUGGCCCGGUUAGUCAGGAGGGCAUGUGACUUUUGAUCUCAAGAUCACAAGUUUGGCCCCACAUUCAGCAUGGAAACUACUUAAAAAAAAAAAAAAAUGGCCAAAGGCAUGAUGGUGAUUGAUGGGCAGUUUCUUGGCAGCUAUUGGCAAAUUUUUUGGAAAUAAUAACUAUAUAUAUAGCCAAUCUUGUGCUUGUCUGCUUAUCUACAUGUCUACAUCUACCUGCUAAGAAAGUGUUCUUGAUCGGGCGCCUGGUUGGCUCAGUGGGUUGAGCCUCUGCCUUCCGCUCAGGUCAUGAUCUCAGGGUCCUGGGAUCGAGUCCCACAUUGGACUCUCUGCUCAGCAGGGAGCCUGCUUCCCCCACCUCUCUCUGCCUGCCUCUCUGCCUAUUUGUGAUCUCUGUCAAAUAAAUAAAUAAAAUCUUAAAAAAAAAAAAAAAAGAAAGAUAGUGUUCUUGAUGAAUACACAGCUGAUUCCCAAAAAAUCUCAGAAUUGGAAG